rnacentral:rRNA from 1 species
GACGAACGCUGGCGGCGUGCUUAACACAUGCAAGUCGAACGGUGAACUCCGCUUGCGGGGGGAUCAGUGGCGAACGGGUGAGUAACACGUGGGCAACCUGCCCUCAGCUCUGGGAUAACUCCAAUAAAUUGGGGCUAAUACCGGAUAUGACCGCUGACCGCAUGGUCUGGUGGUGGAAAGAUUUAUCGGCUGGGGAUGGGCCCGCGGCCUAUCAGCUUGUUGGUGGGGUAGUGGCCUACCAAGGCGACGACGGGUAGCCGGCCUGAGAGGGUGACCGGCCACCCUGGGACUGAGACACGGCCCAGACGCCUACGGGAGGCAGCAGUGGGGAAUAUUGCGCAAUGGGCGAAAGCCUGACGCAGCGACGCCGCGUGGGGGAUGACGGCCUUCGGGUUGUAAACCUCUUUCAGCAGGGACGAAGCGAAAGUGACGGUACCUGCAGAAGAAGCACCGGCCAACUACGUG